CUUGGACUUGUCACCAGUGGGGUACCUCAGGGAUCUGUACUUGGACCCAUUCUCUUUAAUAUUUUUAUUAGUGAUAUUGCAGAAGGUCUUGAUGGUAAGGCAUGUAUUUUUGCUGAUGAUACUAAGAUAUGUAACAGGGUUGAUGUUCCAGAAGAGAUAAACCAAAUGGCAAAUGAUUUAGGUAAACUAGAAAAAUGGUCAGAGUUGUGACGACUGACAUUUAAUGUGGAUAAGUGCAAAGUAAUGCAUCCUGGGUAUAAAAACCCAAGGGCAGAGUACAGAAUAUUUGAUAGAGUCCUAACUUCAACAUCUGAGGAAAGGGAUUUAGGGGUGAUUAGUUCUGAUGACUUAAAGGUAGGCAGACAAUGUAAUAGAGCAGCAGGAAAUGCUAGCAGAAUGCUUGGUUGUAUAGGGAGAGGUAUUGGCAGUAGAAAGAGGAAAGUGCUCAUGCCAUUGUACAGAACACUGGUGAGACGUCACUUGGAGUAUUGUACACAGUCCUGGAGACCGUAUCUUCAGAAGGAUAUUGAUACUUUAGAGAGAGUUCAGAGAGGGGCUACUAAACUGGUUCAUGGAUUGCAGGAUAAAACUUACAAGGAAAGGUUAAAGGAUCUUAACAUGUAUAGCUUGGAGGAAAGACGAGACAGGGGAUAUGAUAGAAACAUUUAAAUAUAUAAAGGGAAUCAACACAGUAAAGGAGUGUCAAAAAUGGGUCGCAAGAGAAUAC